UCUUCUUCGGAAGACGAUCUAGCGGCGGACGGGUGAGUAACACGUGGGUAACCUGCCUUAUAGAGGGGGAUAGCCUUCCGAAAGGAAGAUUAAUACCGCAUAACAUGGUUUUAUCGCAUGGUAGAAUCAUCAAAGGAGUAAUCCGCUAUAAGAUGGACCCGCGGCGCAUUAGCUAGUUGGUGAGGUAACGGCUCACCAAGGCGACGAUGCGUAGCCGACCUGAGAGGGUGAUCGGCCACC
rnacentral:rRNA from 1 species